UGGGGAAUUUUGGACAAUGGGCGAAAGCCUGAUCCAGCAAUGCCGCGUGCAGGAAGAAGGCCUUCGGGUUGUAAACUGCUUUUGUACGGAACGAAAAGGCUCUUUCUAAUAAAGAGGGCCCAUGACGGUACCGUAAGAAUAAGCACCGGCUAACUACGUGCCAGCAGCCGCGGUAAUACGUAGGGUGCGAGCGUUAAUCGGAAUUACUGGGCGUAAAGCGUGCGCAGGCGGUUCUAUAAGACAGAUGUGAAAUCCCCGGGCUCAACCUGGGAAUGGCAUUUGUGACUGUAGAGCUAGAGUACGGUAGAGGGGGAUGGAAUUCCGCGUGUAGCAGUGAAAUGCGUAGAUAUGCGGAGGAAUACCGAUGGCGAAGGCAGCCCCCUGGGCUAACACUGACGCUCAUGCACGAAAGCGUGGGGAGCAAACAGGAUUAGAUACCCCCGUAGUCCCUGAGCGGGCUGGCAAGGCGCAU
rnacentral:rRNA from 1 species